UGCUGCCCCACAGCGCCGCCCUGCAACCCGCCCGGUGCGGCGCGCAGCGCACCCCGCCGACACUGGACUGUGCACCUUAUCUUUAACUCGCUUCGAGUGUCGAAGCGCUUAAACUUUAUUUCUUCAUAAGCUGCCCAUCACCAUGCGUUGUGCAGCCCAUUUGGUGCCGGAGAGUGGAACCGGGGAGGAGAAGUGUGGCACAGGAGUGACCAGGGCAAAACAGUGAAUUGGGGAAGAGGACGAGUUGGAGGCGGGGGUCAAAGAAUAUCGGACAGGAAAAGAAGUGUCAAGGUCAAAACUUCGGCUGGAGAGAAAGACUCAUUCCCAUCAUUACCUUGAACACGGGAUCCCUGGGUGGCGCAGCGGUUUAGCGCCUGCCUUUGGCCC